UCCGAGUUGACCCCGGCAGUCUCCGAUGAGUCCCCGGCAUAACCCGCUGGCAACAUCGGACAAGGGUUGCGCUCGUUGCGGGACUUAACCCAACAUCUCACGACACGAGCUGACGACAGCCAUGCAGCACCUGUGUUGCGGUUCCCUUUCGGGCACCGAGACAUUUCUGCCCCGUUCCGCACAUGUCAAGGGUAGGUAAGGUUUUUCGCGUUGCAUCGAAUUAAUCCACAUAAUCCACCGCUUGUGCGGGUCCCCGUCAAUUCCUUUGAGUUUUAGCCUUGCGGCCGUACUCCCCAGGCGGGGCACUUACUGCGUUCGCGCCGGCGCGGAGGGGGUCGAUACCCCCCACACCCAGUGCCCACCGUUUACGGCGUGGACUAC
rnacentral:misc_RNA from 1 species